UAAGGCCAUAUCAUUUAGCUGCCUACCUCUUUGGGUGAAUUUGUAUAUGUAUUUAAUAAGUAAAUAUGCAGCUAAGCAGUGAACUACAAUGCAUCAAACAGUGGGAAAUAGUAUUCCAUUUAACCUUGGGAUUUUAAAGAAGUUUCUAUUGUAAUUAGAGUACCAACCCAUAGGCAUGGGAGAUUUCAUUUUCUUCUAGCAUUGGUGCUUUUGCAACUAGGUUUUUGUGGUAUCUCUGGUGCCAAGACACCAUAGAAUUCACUUAGAAUUUAGAAUUAGAAAUCAGAAUUCCCUUGGGUUUAGAUGAGUGUUUUCAAAGGGCUAACUGGAAGGACCCUAAUAUAAAAGAUGCCAAGAGCCAUCACACAAAAAUAAGGGAAUCCUGGAAGGAGUAUCAUGGUUGUUAUUGAAUAUGGGUUGCUACAGAGACAGCAGAGAAGACUGACUUGAGAAACGUUUGGAAAAAAUAACUCAACAUCGGAAGUUGUUGGUACAUUCAUGAAGACACACUGCUACACACCCCAAUAACAGACGAAUAAGGCAUGCUCCGUACCCUGAAAAAGCUCACAGGCCAGAGCAUGAGGAAUGCAAUCUUCCAGGAGAGAAACAACACAGCAGAGAGGUACACCUGAGGUCCAGCCCAGUCCUGCUACAUGGUCAUUGAAAAUGGAAGCCUUCUUGGGACAUCGACAAAUGCUGGAGGGGCUAAUUCACAAAUAAAUCACCAAAGGAGGGAAAAUGAGGG